rnacentral:rRNA from 1 species
UAGCAUGGGAUAAUGGAAUAGGACCCUGUCCUCCUAUUUUCAGUUGGUUUUGGCAGCGCGAGGACUAGGGUAAUGAUUAAUAGGGAUAGUUGGGGGCAUUAAUAUUUAAUUGUCAGAGGUGAAAUUCUUGGAUUUAUGAAAGAUUAACUUCUGCGAAAGCAUCUGCCAAGGAUGUUUUCAUUAAUCAAGAACGAAAGUUAGGGGAUCGAAGACGAUCAGAUACCGUCGUAGUCUUAACCAUAAACGAUGCCGACCAGCGAUUAGGAGACGUUGAAUACAAAACACCACCAUCGGCGCGGUCGUCCUUGGCGUGUCUCGGCUUCACGGCUGGGGCGCGCGAGGGCGGUUUAGCCCGGUGGCACCGGUGAAUGACUCCCUAGCAGCU